AUGCCAUGGGGGGAAAAUGCUUGUAUUGAGCUGAGGAAAUUAAAGAAAAAUUGCUACAGAUACGAAAACAAUGAAGCUCCUACAGUGGACAGCAUCAUUGAAACGAAAGCCAUCACAAAAAAAAAAGAAACUGAAUUGAAAACACAGGAGCUGAUCAUAACAACAGCCUGUCAAGAGAGAGCACAGAAAUUUUACAAUGAAGUGAAAAAGAUAUUGGCCAUGGAAAAAAUUGAAGUGGAAAGUGGAACUGAAGAGGAAAAUGGUUUUGAUGAUUAUUCAAUUCUAUUAUCUCUCUGGAGAACCAGAGAAGCUGUAUAUAAGAAACAAAGACUGCAAUUCCAAACAGUUUUAGAAGAAAGAAGUCAGACAUUCUUCAAAGAAGUCAAAGAGUUAUGUGCUAUGAGGAGAGAAUUCAAUUCAAAGGUACUUUUUCUUUGCCAGUAA
rnacentral:lncRNA from 1 species